CGAAGGGGGCUAGCGUUGCUCGGAAUUACUGGGCGUAAAGCGCACGUAGGCGGCUUUCUAAGUCGGGGGUGAAAUCCUGGAGCUCAACUCCAGAACUGCCUUCGAUACUGGAGAGCUCGAGUCCGGGAGAGGUGAGUGGAACUGCGAGUGUAGAGGUGAAAUUCGUAGAUAUUCGCAAGAACACCAGUGGCGAAGGCGGCUCACUGGCCCGGUACUGACGCUGAGGUGCGAAAGCGUGGGGAGCAAACAGG
rnacentral:rRNA from 1 species